CCCAGUUGUUGCACCAUCAAACUCAUUACAUAGGCAGCAGGUUGUGGAUUCACUUAGUAGUCAUCCCACUGUUCGGCCAAUGUCACAUCAACAACAAUCUCAUGCAUUUUCAUCCCAAGAGGUUCACCUUUCAAAGAAAGAGAAGAAGAAUAAGAAGAAGAAGAAGAACUAACAAGGUAAAAGUACUAUGUAAGGUUAUUCUAUAUAUUACAGCGUAGAGUUUCAGUAAAACGAAAGAUAAUAUUUGUUUGAAGUGGAGGCAUUUUGUUAAGGAACUUGGCCGACCAACUGAACUCAAAAGCCACCAGAAAGCUACAAUGGGUAUUCCAAGUCCAUGUAGUGCCUUUUGAUACUAAUUUCUGUUUCAUUGUUCUGUGGCCCCUUUUCAUGAUCUGUAAAGCCAUCCGAUAUUUUGCUAAACUGAUUCGACUGCAGGUGAUUAUUGGUGGAGGUGGAGGUGUCGCUUUUGCUGCAGCUCCUGCAGGUGGAGGUGGAGCCCUAGCUGCUGAAGCACCUCCAGCUGAGGAGAAGAAGGAAGAGAAAGAGGAGAGUGAAGAUGAAGAUAUGGGUUUCUCACUUUUUGAUUAGUGAAUCAUCUAUAUACAAUGCUUUCUUAUUUACCAAGUUUUGAAUGUGUCGGCCAACUUUGAUAGGGGUUGAAUGUUGGCUUUUCAUCAGUCAAGUAUGAAUCUUGUGGUGGUCUUUAUGAUCUCUAGUAGACAACUCACAUUUUUGUGGUUUUUAAA